rnacentral:lncRNA from 1 species
CAUGAUUUUGCAUCUCCUUUGGCUUCUUUUUGUGUGACUGCUGAACCAGUCUGCUCCCUUGCUUUUCCUGCAGUCAGUAUCACAUGCUUCCUGUGCAGGUGCUGUGCAGUUUUACCCUAAGAUUGUCUUCAGGCCAAGAGAUUUAGGACUGCGAUCUUGCGCCACAUCUUUGCAUAUUUACAUGAAUCCCAGAUGAGUUUGAAAGAACUAAGGAACUUUAUCCAUCACAUCGUAUUCACCCACCCACACAGCUGGGCAUGGCUGCAAAAAGGGUUAUUACUGGGGAACAGCAUCCAUUCCUGCAAUAA